rnacentral:lncRNA from 1 species
AACAGCAAAGCUCAUCCGUCCUGUUCCUAUUUCCCCAGCUCCUCUGGCAUCUGAUCUUAACUUGAACUUGAAUUCAGUCGUCGGUCCUUCACCAUUGUCACUCAAGCUUUCUUUGCAACCUGAACAAAAGGAUUCGUCUUCUAGGCAUUCUGCAUUUCAGGUGAUGCCAAGCUUCAGCAAUGGAGACAGCAAUAGCAUUAUCAGUGUUGCUUGAGAAGGUUGAAAGCAAAAAUGUGAAAAUUUAUUAUUAGAGAAAAAAAAAAAGAGAAGAUAAAAGUAAGGUAAAGUUAGGCAACUGGGUUUGCAACCUUGGUGUUUGAUGUACAGACUAAACAGAAAAAAACUGUCAUGUCUUGUUGCUUUUGUUGUUUUCUGUUGCUAUUAUGUUGGAUUCUUGUUCAUUUGUCUGUUUUUGCUCUGCUAGCUG